UUUAGGCUAUAUGAACACCAUUUUAUCAUUAGUACAGAUCUCAUAAGUAAGUUAAUAUAAGCCAUCUAUUUUCUUUGGGAGUGUAACUUGAUACAGAUCUCUUGUGUUUAUAAAGUAACUAUGCACUCCAUGAACAUAGAUGGAUAAGGUCUCUGAGAGUAGUCAGUGGAUCAGGCUGAAAUGGUUUAAACCCUUUAGAGUCCCUUUUCUCAUUUGAGCUGGGCUAGGAACUAUGAGGUGUAGGAAAACUUUUGUUUUCUUUGUUUCAUUGGCAGUACCUUUUGAUUCCUUACAUCUUGAGUUUGUGGGGGUUAAAAGGGGUUUUUAAAUUUUUGUAUGUCAGAGCCUAUGGGCUUCUUAAUUUUUUUUUCGUUUAGAAAGGCACAGAAAUUGUACACUUUGCCUCUUUCUUCACUGUGGGUCAGCAGUUUGUUCAGUUUGUUUGUGUGAGUGUGGAAAGUAAAAUUAGGACAGCAUGUGUGCAUACAUGUUUCCAUUAUGUGUUAGAGAAUUACAUUUCCUCGUCUGAUUUUACUAAAACAUUACCAUAUAUAAGGUAUGUGAAAUUUAGAAUUACUUGGCGAGGAUGGAAGAUUAACGGGGACUCCGUUGUCUCAAGGUUUCUGUUUAGAACUGCAAGGCAAAUGGAUGCACUGCCUGAGUGCAGAAUUGCCUGCAGCCCCCUCUUCCUUCCCUGGGAGCAGGGUGCACAGCCUGUGAGGAAGCAAUCCGGAAUUGGAGGCUGUGGUCUCUCUGCCAGCCUGCUCGAGUCUGUCAAGCUUGUUAGCUCAUCUCCAGUGUCCCAGGAACUGAGAGGUACUAAGCUGGCUCUGUGCAUCCUAGAUGGAGCAGCGCUGGAGUAGUACAGGGAGGGCUGCACUGGAUUCAGAAGCAACAGUGUUGCCUUGUUUUUCCCAGUAUUACAGUGUAUCCCUAAAUGGCAUUGGUUUGGUUUUACUGGGUUUCUUCUGUGAGAUACUUGGCUUGAUUAUUAAGAUGAUGGGCAGCCUCAGAUUCACACUUCUACCUGCCCAAACUUCAAUUUCCUAACUCAAAAAAUGUUAUGCACAAAACAACCACUUUUGAUUCAUGGAAUCGUAGAAUCGCUUAGGUUGGAAAAGACCUCUAAGAUCGAGUCCAACCAUUCACCUAAUGCUGCCAAGUCCACCAUUAAGCUACAUCCGUAAGCCCACGUCUACGUGUCUUUUUGCCACUGCCAGGGAUGGUGACUCCACUGUUUCUCUGGGCAGCCUGUUCCAGUGGUUGACAACCGUUUCAGUGGAGAAAUGUUUCCUAAUAUCCAAUCUAAAUUCACUUACAAUUUCACUAAGCUUGAAUGAGCCUCCUCUGGGAUACUGCUUUAAUGAAAUACAUCUCGUUGAAAUACCCAAGUCUGUCUCUGAAUAUUCUUGGUAUGGAAUUGGAAAUUAGGAUUUGGGAUUUACUAAUUUUCUGAUGUGGAGUAGAUGUAAUUUACCAUGUUCUCUGCAUAGACUGAUUAUUUGUAUCCUU